GGUCCGAUGGUGUAGUUGGUUAUCACAUCUGCUUCACAAUUAUAGUUUCGCAGGCGGUCCUCGGUUCGAGCCCGGGUCGGAUCA